AGCAAAUCGCAAAGUGAAAACAGGCGAUAAAUCAUUCAAGUUUCUGACCUAUCAGCUUUCGACGGUAUGGUAUUGGCUUACCGUGGCAGUGACGGUUAACGGGGGAUUAGGGUUCGAUUCCGGAGAGGGAGCCUGAGAAACGGCUACCACAUCUAAGGAAGGCAGCAGGCGCGCAAAUUACCCAAUUCUAACAGUUUGAGAGAGGUAGUAACAAGAAAUAACAAUACAAGGCAGUUAAAAUGCUUUGUAAUUGGAAUGAUAGAAAUUUAAACCCUUUUUAAAGUAUCAAUUGGAGGGCAAGUCUGGUGCCAGCAGCCGCGGUAAUUCCAGCUCCAAUAGCGUAUAUUAAAAUUGUUGCAGUUAAAAAGCUCGUAAUUUAAGUUCUGCUAAAAGUAACCGGUCUGCUU
rnacentral:rRNA from 1 species